GGGCUUGAACUCACAGACCGCGAGAUCGUGACCUGGCUGAAGUCGGAUGCUUAACCGACUGCGCCACCCAGGCGCCCCCAUUAACUGACUUUUAAAUGCUGAACCAGCCUUGUAUGCCUGGGAUAAAUCCCACUUGGUUGUGGUGUAUAAUUCUUUUAAUACAUUCUUGUAUUCAAUUGGCAAAUAUUUUGUUGAAGAUUUUUGCAUCUAUAUUAAUAAGAGAUAUUGUUCUGUAGUUUUCUUUUCUUAUAAUGUCACUGUCUGGUGUUGGUAUUAGGGUAAUGCUAGCCUCAUAGAAUGACUGAGAUUGGUAAAAUUUUAUGCUAUGUAUGUUUUACCACACAUACACAGAAAGAAAGAAAGAAAGAAAGAAAGAAAGAAAAAGAAAAAAAGAGGAAAAUGGCACUACACACAACAGGACAGAUGGAGAGAUAAAUAUUACACUUUAAAAAGGUUCCUGUUCUGGCCUGGCCCCCACGGGGCAGGCCCCAGGUGCUGGCCCGGUGGGUUUUGGUCCGAAACUCAAUCACCCUGGCUUGUUUUCAGUGAAGGAACCCAGCUCACCGUCCUAGGUCAGCCCACGUCCGCACCCUUGGUCAUGCUCUUCCUACCCUUCUCUGAGGAGCUCAGAGCCAACAAGGCCAUCCUGGUGUGCCUCAUCAGUGACUUCUACCCUGGCAACUUGACGGUGACCUGGAAGGCAGAAGGGACCCCUGUCACCCAGGGCGUGGAGACCACCAAGCCUUUCAAACAGAGCAACAACAAGUAUGUGGCCAGCAGCUACCUGAGUCUGUCACCUGACAAGUGGAAAUCUUAUAGCAAUUUUACCUGCCAGGUCACACACGAGGGGAGCACCGUGGAGAAGAGAGUGGUGCCCUCAGAGUGCUCUUAGGUGCCUGAGACCCCCACUCACCCAAGAGGAUGUGCAGCCAAUGGACCUCCAGGAAGGUCUCUCCUCCCACCAGGAUCAUCCCAGCCCUUCUCCCUGCACCCAAUCAAUGCUCAAUAAAAAGUCCUUCAUUCAAUCAGAAAUCGUGUUCUCAU